rnacentral:rRNA from 1 species
GACGAACGCUGGCGGCGUGCCUAAUACAUGCAAGUAGAACGCUGAAGGAGGGGCUUGCUUCUCUGGAUGAGUUGCGAACGGGUGAGUAACGCGUAGGUAACCUGCCUGGUAGCGGGGGAUAACUAUUGGAAACGAUAGCUAAUACCGCAUAAGAGUAGAUGUUGCAUGACAUUUGCUUAAAAGGUGCAAUUGCAUCACUACCAGAUGGACCUGCGUUGUAUUAGCUAGUUGGUGGGGUAACGGCUCACCAAGGCGACGAUACAUAGCCGACCUGAGAGGGGGAUGGGCAAACAGGGGAAUGAAAAAAGGCCAAAGCUCCUAGGGGAGGAAGGAGGAGGGAAUGUUCGGAAAUGGACGGAAGUCGGACCGAGCAACGCCGGGGGAGGGAAAAAGGUUUUGGGAUCGAAAAGCUCUUUUGUAAGAGAAGAAGGGGGGGGAGGGGGGAAAGUUCACACGGUGACGGUAUUUUACAAGAAAGGGACGGAUAAAUACGU